CCUGAAGCCAGCCCAGGGGAUGACAGAGCAGCCUGAGGGAGCAAGAACUGUCACCACGGUCUGCCCGGGAAGCACUGAGAUGAUGCUGGGGUUGCAGUGAGCUGUCGAACUAGAUGUGUCAGAAAUGAGAAAGGAGAUGAGAGAACAAAUUAGAAUACAGAGUGAUCGACACUUUGAUGAAGGAAGGAGAUGGGGCCUGGGGUCCAUAAAACCUACUGCCAAACCAAUCCAGACAGACUCAGUGUGACAUUACAAGCAUCCUGGGUGGAACUGCAAGACAUAGUUAUUUCAAGAUUAUGAAGAGUGUGGUGGCCAACCUCCAAGAUAGCCCCAUGAUCCCUCCUCCAGGUACUCAUGCCCUUGUAUGGUAUGCUCCCACAAUCUUCUGAGGAUUUGGUUGUAUGACUGAUCGAAUACAGCAGAAGCGAUGGCAUAGGACAUCUGAGGCUACGUCAUCUAAGGGAUACACAGGAAUUCACUCCCAUCCUCCCAUGUGGCUUCUACUUUGCUCUUAAUCUCUCAGAUCUCUCACCCUGGGAGACACCAUCCACCAUGUCCUGAGGACACUCAAGCAGCUCUGUGCCCUCCUGACAAUAGCUGUUAGGUGAACCACCUUGGGUGCAGACCCUCUAGCCCCACUCCAGCCUUCAGAAGACAGCAGCCCUAGCUCACAUGGGACCCUGAGCCAGACCACCAAGCAAACCACUCCCAGAUUCCUGACCCACAGAAAUU
rnacentral:antisense_RNA from 1 species